GCCAGCAUAGUAUAAUGGUUUGAGUUCUAGACUAGGGCUCUGGAAAAUAGGGUUCAAAUCCCUGCUCGGCCA